rnacentral:rRNA from 1 species
UACGGAGGGGGCGAGCGUUAUUCGGAAUUAUUGGGCGUAAAGGGCGCGUAGGCGGCUGUGUAAGUCAAAGGUGAAAUCCCUCGGCUCAACUGAGGAACUGCCUUUGAAACUGCACGGCUUGAGGCCGGGAGGGGGUAGCGGAAUUCCCAGUGUAGCGGUGAAAUGCGUAGAUAUUGGGAGGAACACCAGUGGCGAAGGCGGCUACCUGGACCGGUUCUGACGCUGAGGCGCGAAAGCGUGGGUAGCAAACAGG